CUCGCCCUCGUCCGCCUCUCUCACUCUUUCUCACUCUUCUCAGCCGACAGCCGCCACCCGCCAGCGCUCCACCUCCUUAGUCUUCAACUCUUUAUGGACCCAUCUCCGGCUCAGGAUCCAUCUCCGGCUCAGGAUCUAUCUCCGGUCAGGGGGGGCAUCCGCACCCGUCGCCGUCGCCGAGGUAUUAUAGCUUCUAUUUAUAUCUAGAUUUCAAAGUAUUAUAGCUUUGUUAAUUUAUCAUGUAUCUUUUUUUCAUUGCUCUGGAGAAAUCAAAUUUAUAGCUUUGUUAGUUCAAUUUGCUCAGGACCAAAUUGUCGGGUUGAAAACUUUGUUAGUUCAAUUUGGUUUGGUCAUGACUCAUGAUUUUUUUACUCGACGGAUGCUUUGUUGAACGCAUGCUUUUUUUUGUUCUGAAAUUUUUGUGGAGAUCCAAAUUCCAACAGAUGCAUAAACAUUUUUUUCUUGGGGGUACUGUAUAAAGAUGAAUCGAGGCUAAGUCCAUACGGUUCAAGUAAAGAUUAUGCGCGCAAUGUCGUAUGACCUUCGAAUUCUGUCGCUAAACAAUUACAGCUUCAAUGGCCCCUAGCUUAAGGGGGAUUUCUAGAUAUUUUGAAACUUAUCAGCUGUUAUAACAGUUAUAUGAUAAUCACCCAAAGUUAAAGGGGUUUUUCCUAUAUACAGCCAAAAAGAAGUGACCAUUAGCAUAAUUGGGGUUUUCCUGUCAAAGAAAAUAAAUCAUUGGUGAGCCUGGUUUACAACAAAAGAAAAUAAAUAACUAGCAGAGGUAGGAAACAAAUAGAAACACUGAAACAGUAGAGAGUAAGUGAGUAACAGAUCAUCAAAAAGAACAGCUUCAAUGGCAUCCUUGAUGUAUGCACUUCCGAUUGGGUUCGAAACUUGUUGGCUACGCCGGGUUCGAGCAAAAUUUGCUUUGAAGAAGAUUUGGAUGCUCUUGAGAAGUUGGACAUAGAUUUGGGCAAGCUUUCAAUUAAACCAACAAUCAAGGAUUUGUAAGAGCUUUCAUGGAAGAACACAGGAAGAGUGGGAGAACUGACAGUCGCCAUCGCUAAUCUAUUUUGGGAGGAUGUUACGAAAGGGCCUGAAAUGCUCCGGACACCUGUUCCUUACAAAGAGUUGCAGAUAUCAUUUAUGUUGACAAUGUAUUUUUGAUACCUCAGUUGUAUGUUGCCAAGUUAGAAGUGCUGUAAAUCACAUUUUGUACCGAAGUGUAUUCCUGUGAUUCCUGUUGACAAUGUAUUUUUUUGAUACCUCAGUCAGUUGUAUGUUCCCACUUGCUUCUAUAUUCAGUUGGUGCUUAUUUUCA